rnacentral:rRNA from 1 species
GAAUUAUUGGGCGUAGAGGGCUCGCAGGCGGUUUCUUAAGUCUGAUGUGAAAGCCCCCGGCUCAACCGGGGAGGGUCAUUGGAAACUGGGAAACUUGAGUGCAGAAGAGGAGAGUGGAAUUCCACGUGUAGCGGUGAAAUGCGUAGAGAUGUGGAGGAACACCAGUGGCGAAGGCGACUCUCUGGUCUGUAACUGACGCUGAGGAGCGAAAGCGUGGGGAGCGAACAGGAUUAGAUACCCUGGUAGUCCACGCCGUAAACGAUGAGUGCUAAGUGUUAGGGGGUUUCCGCCCCUUAGUGCUGCAGCUAACGCAUUAAGCACUCCGCCUGGGGAGUACGGUCGCAAGACUGAAACUCAAAGGAAUUGACGGGGGCCCGCACAAGCGGUGGAGCAUGUGGUUUAAUUCGAAGCAACGCGAAGAACCUUACCAGGUCUUGACAUCCUCUGACAACCCUAGAGAUAGGGCUUUCCCUUCGGGGACAGAGUGACAGGUGGUGCAUGGUUGUCGUCAGCUCGUGUCGUGAGAUGUUGGGUUAAGUCCCGCAACGAGCGCAACCCUUGAUCUUAGUUGCCAGCAUUCAGUUGGGCACUCUAAGGUGACUGCCGGUGACAAACCGGAGGAAGGUGGGGAUGACGUCAAAUCAUCAUGCCCCUUAUGACCUGGGCUACACACGUGCUACAAUGGACAGAACAAAGGGCUGCAAGACCGCAAGGUUUAGCCAAUCCCAUAAAUCUGUUCUCAGUUCGGAUCGCAGUCUGCAACUCGACUGCGUGAAGCUGGAAUCGCUAGUAAUCGCGGAUCAGCAUGCCGCGG